CAGUCACAGUGCUUGUUUUUGUCAGUGAGCUGGUGCUGCUUUUUGGUGCUUGUGUUUUCCUCUAACUCCCGGCAGAAUGUUGGGGGUUAUGUCUUCUAAUAUAUGUGUUACCUUCCUCAUAGUAUUUUAUUACUUUUCAUGUUCAGUGCUGGGAAAUGUUAUCACCUCAGAAAAACAAAAUGUGAACGCUAAACCUGGGGAAUCAGUAAUAUUAACCUGUAACUACUCAACCAGCAGCUCUUCCCCAUAUCUGCACUGGUAUCGUCAGUACCCCAACCAAAUGCAGUAUAUCCUCACUCGGGGGGCAAAGAGCUAUUCAAGCUUAAAGCGUGAGAAUCCAGAUUUGGAGCCUAAAAAAUUCCAGUCAGAGACCAGCGAUACAUCCACCUCUUUAUCCAUCUCCAGCCUGACCGUGUCUGAUUCUGCCUUGUACUUGUGUGCUCUCAGUGAUGGGGCACAGUGGUGAACAUGUACUUACAUACAGUGUUAAAAGCGCAAUGUAAUAUACUGUUACAGACACUAGGUGGCGCAGUGCAACAACAUCCACAUAUCUGUAUUCUAACUGCUCUGUAUUUUAUCAAUUUUACCCUGUUCAUAGUUGUCAUUUUUAGAAUGUGCAUCUAAAAAAAAAAGUUUAAAAAAUGAGCGGUCUUAAUAAUAUUA